CUAUGUCUUAAACAUAGCACAGGAAUAAAACCUACUUAGCCAUGCAUAAGUUCACAUGACUGUCAAUGUCUACUUUGGUCAUGGUUACGUCGACUUUACAGUUGUAUUAAACGAUACAAAAGUAUAACUGCUCUUUCUCUAUUGUUUUUACUCAGACUCUCUAUUUAUAAAAUAUUCUUGGCUAAUGAGACAAGGCUAUGGUAUUCUCAUAAAGAAACCCUAGGGCUUCCUGAUUUUAGUCUUACCUUUUCCUAGUUUUACCUCCAGAUCUACCAACAACACCCCUUGUAACACUGGCCGCUGACUACACGGUUCAUUCUUGGGCUUUUGGGGCCAGAUCACUCUCUGGGGUGGGGCGUCCUAUACACCAUAAGGUGUUGGGCGGUGUCCCUAAGUUUCCACCCACCACUUGCCAGUAGCAUCCCCCUCCUUUCCAGUAGUGACCACCCAAAAUGUCCUCAGAUGUUGUCAAAUGUCCCCUGGAGGUAAAAUCACCCCGGGUUCGAAACCACGGUCUUGACGAGUAUUUUGAUGUCAGGGACCACUGAAGGGUGGCCAACAAAGAAAGCAAAGAGGAAAACAGGACCUCAGUGACCAGCUUCAUUUAAACGCUUACAACAUGAUUGAUCCUGGUGCCCAAGCAAGAGCCUGAAUCACCACACUUGGAAAGCUCGGAUGCGUCUCACCAACGCAUCAAACCAGGAGUGUGAGCUCGCCUUGUGCAGUCUUCCAGUUGGAUCCAAACCAGUUCACGCAACCAGAGGUCCGCCCGCCGAGACAGACAGAAAGAACCUAACAAAGGGAGGAAGGAGCUGUUGAAGAUGCCCGUGUGGGGUGUGCAUUUUGCUGUGGGGCGUGCAAAGGCAUUUUUUCAUGGAUCCUAUUUCCUACUUCUGACUCCAUCUUGGACUUUCUCUUGAACGUCACCAACGUUUGAUCCUCUGCAAAGACAAAAUAUUUAAACGAGCAGUGUGGGGAAUCGUAAGCAGACGGAGACGUGCUGGGUGGUUGGAGGAACCCUGGACGCUGAUUCAGAGACCUGGGUUCGAGUGCAGUUGUGUGUCUCCCUGGACCCAAGAUGGCGGCCAACCUAGAUGCACUGUGCUCCCAUUUACUCAUUAGUGAUGCUCGUUCUUCUCCUGCAUCUCUGUCUGCACAACACCACGCGGUGGCUCCCCGUUGCACCGCGAGCUAAGACAGCAUCCUCACAAUGUGUGCAAAGCCGCCCGUGCUCUGCCAUCCGGCAUGUGUGACUCUGUUUCUUCUCUGCUCACUCGGUUCUGGAUGCCCUGGCCCCUUUGCUGAUUUAGGACGUCCCUACAGCAACGCCUGCCACAGGCCCCAUUUGCCUGGCCCCAUUUCUGUCUUUCCCGAGUCUGUCUUCUCCCUGUGUAUACAAGAGUCCCCUUGUUGGACAUUCCUGCUUCCCGGGAUACCCGAGUCUGACUCGAGACUCUGUGUUUGCUUCCGUGAGUCUGUCUUCAACCCGAUAGAUAGCUUCUCUUUUCCAGCAUGACGUGCUCUCCCGUGGAGUCACGAUGUGGAACACACGUUAUAAAGAAAUCGUUAUACAUCACUCUACACCAUCCAUUCACCUUGUGAACUUAGCCCCUGAUCCCCUAGGGAAGGUCUUGCCUGUUAUUUUAGGUUAUGAAUGCCAAAUAAAACUCUCAUUAAUUUCAUGUUUCACCGGCGGCCACUUUAUAUUGUGAGUACGGUGUGUGUGUUAACGUUGGGAAGCGCGGUAGCCAAUGUGGGCCCACCGUAUUUCUACAAUAUUUGAAAAUACACGAGCACAAUUUCUAAAGUAUGUUAUUGUCCACUUGCUGUGAACAGCCAGGAGGUUAUAGUGGACGGUAAUUCUUGCGUCCAAGUAGAAGCCGAUGGUAACGUAUUAAUUUAUUAUAGUAGUUUAUUAAUUUGUUAUAAUCAUGAUAGUAUCUUAAUUUAUGACCUAUAGCAUUAUAAUGCUAAUGGUAUAUUAAUUUGUUUACGAGGUCUUGGGCAGUGGUGUUGCCCGAGUCACUUCUCCCGGGGAAAAUAAUGCUGAGGGGGGCAUGGGUGGCUCAGUCCAUGAAGCAUCUGACUUCAGCUCAGGUCAUGAUCUCAUGGUUCCGUGGGUUCGAGCCCCGCGUCGGGCUCUGUGCUGACAGCACGGAUCCUGUGUGGGAUUUAAAACAAUUUUUUUGUCAAUUUUGUAGGGAAAAAGUACUAUUUCACCUUGAUGUGUGGCUUUUUAAAAACUUUCUGGGAUUUUAAUUUAUUUUCAUUAAAAGCUUUUUUUCAACGUUUAUUUUUGAGAGAGAGAGAGUGACAGAGCAGGGGAGGUGCAGAGAGAGGGGGAAACACAGAAUCCGAAGCAGGCUCCAGGCUCUGAGCUGUCCGCACAGAGCCCGACACGGGGCUCGAACUCACAAACCGUGAGAUCAUGACCUGAGCCAGCUCAGUCUGACGCUUAACCGACUGAGCCACCCAGGCGCCCCUGAUUUGUGGCAUUUUUUAAGUGAACCAUAUUGACCGUUUCUUGUAUGUUACUUUCUACAUGCUGCUUUUCAGUGGGUGAGAUAUUUAUUUAUGUUUUCUGCCCCUUCUGUUACGUUUUCUUAAUGAUUUACAUCUGCGAGACACGUACGAAGAAGAUACGACAUCGGUACUCUUGAAUUUUCUUGCUGGGGACGCACCUCGCUUACCGAAACAAAGGGCAACAAAAAUUUCUCUGCAGUGGGAUUAUCAGACUGUUUGUUUUGUUUUGAGUGUUCUCAAUGCAAAGUACUAAGAAACUAACCAAAAUAAGAGAAAAGUGGCUUCGGACAUAACCAUCAAUUAAAUCUUGAAAGGGAGAAAAAAAGCACAAAAGAUAGAGAAACAAAAUGGAUAAACAUCUCUUGCAUCAGGAGAAGAUUUCUAAGACCUACCGACAUGUAAAAAGCGAUUUGCCAAAUUCAGAGUACCGCGUGACUGCUUCUGGGGUAAAAAGGAUGCCCCCUGGGGGAACUAUAUACAUCUGUCAGUGUGCAUUUGUGGGACCCGCAUCCAAAAGAAAGUUCUGGAAGCCUAGCCAGGAAGCACGUGGCAAUGGUGGGAAAUGGAGGCAGAUUGUUGAGAACAACUUGGAAUGGGUUCUCCGCCAUUGCCCUGUAGUUUGAGUUUCGACAACAAAGCUCAUGUUUAAAUACCGCCACCGUGUUGUGGGCGAGUGCGGCCCCCUGGGCAGACAGGCCCCUUCUCUCUGGGGCAUUUCCAGAGGGAGCCUUGGUGGGCCGUGUCACAGCAGAGGCACAGACUUGUGUUAGGCAUGACAGGCACGCACAAGAAAGCAAAUCCUCAGGAGACCAUACGUCACAGUUCUUAGAAACAGGUAAACGAUGCCCUUUCAGAGUAAUUGGAAAAUUACCGUUAUGCAAACGUUCAGUCUAGAUAAUGAGGCAUUCCCGGUAUACACUGCACAGUAUCCCCCUUCCCCCAUCAGCUAGGUAACUACAGGUUAUCAGGAACAACGUACUUUUUAAUUUUUGGGUCAUUAGAGGGAGAACAGUGAUUAUUUUUGUACGUUUUCAUGGUUUCUGUCUUUUUUUUUUUAAAUAGGGCUAGCUGAUCUAACGCCUGCUCGUUAGUUUUGUACAAGCCUCAAACCAGAUCAUUUCAGAGUCUAUUUUGGGGUUAUAGUGUGGUGCCUGCGGCAUCGGAAAAACGCAGAUGUUUUAAUGUAUUGCAGGAAGUUGCCAAAAGUCGAAAGCACCUUUCCUUUGUAAAAUAUAUUUCGGUGUGGGCAGCCUUGGCUGGCUCAGUCAAUACAGCAUGUGUGUAUGAAUCUCAGGGUCGUGAGUUCAAGCCCCAAGUUGGGCAUGGAGCCUACUUAAAAUGAAAAAUAAAUAAUAAAUCAAUACAAUAAAUUCAAAGAAAUCUGUUUUAGUACCACAGCAAGUCUUCACGCGUUAAGAGAUGGGUUGUUAUUUUUGUCGUAUUUGGGCUAUCCAACAGAGACCGGGGGGAAAAAAUCAACUCUGGUUCUGGCUUCGAUGUGUUAUGCCUGGUAUACCUCCUCCAAAUAAGGGUAAGGACCGUGUUCAAGUGUAGAAAACAACAGACAAGGAAAGGUAAAACCCCACUGUGAGUUUAUGUUACGUGACAUGAGAAUAUGAGGCUUUCAUGGGGCCACUGUGUAGCAAGAGGGAGGUGUCAACAUUUCUAUUUUUUUUUUUUAACUUGAAGUAUUUAACAGUGCGGAACACCAUUAGCACAGCUUGAAAUGGACAUUUAGCAGCACACAGAAUGGGCUGAGCCUCAUGCAGGACAGUCCAUGAGAGCAUCUGUGAUUUGUCAUUUAAAACAAUUUUUUUUUAAUGUUUAUUUUUGAGAGGGAGACACACACACAGAGCACGAGCAGGGGAGGGGCAGAGAGAGAGGGAGACCCAGAAUCGGAAGCAGGCUCCAGGCUCCGAGCUGUCAGCACAGAGCCAGACGCGGGGCUUGAACUCACGAAGAACUUUGGGCUCAUGACCUGAGCCGAAGUCGGACGCUUAACCGUCCGAGCCACCCAGGUGCCUCUGUGCUUUGUCAUUUUUCACGAGGGACAACACCUUCGUUACUGGAAUUCUCUUCUUCCCCGUUCAUUCGUCAAGACCAAAGGUCAGGCACAGUGACCACCACCAUGAUUAUGGGAAGAACACAGGAUGCGUGUGGCCCCAUAGACGAUGCUGCUCUUACGAGUUUUCUGUAGCUCAGUGUGAAAGUGUUUGCUCUUGCCAGGAGUUGGUUGAGCGAACUCCCCCAUCCCGGCUGCUAGGAAAACAUGAUGUAAAUAAAUAAUGUCGACAUCAA